CCAGACUCCUACGGGAGGCAGCAGUGGGGAAUAUUGCACAAUGGGGGAAACCCUGAUGCAGCGACGCCGCGUGAGUGAAGAAGUAAUUCGUUAUGUAAAGCUCUAUCAGCAGGGAAGAAAAUGACGGUACCUGAGUAAGAAGCCCCGGCUAACUACGUGCCAGCAGCCGCGGUAAUACGUAGGGGGCAAGCGUUAUCCGGAUUUACUGGGUGUAAAGGGGGCGCAGACGGCGAUGCAAGCCAGGAGUGAAAGCCCGGGGCCCAACCCCGGGACUGCUCUUGGAACUGCGUGGCUGGAGUGCAGGAGGGGCAGGCGGAAUUCCUGGUGUAGCGGUGAAAUGCAUAGAUAUAACGAAGAACCCCGAUUGCGAAGGCAGCAUACCGGCUCCACACUGACGCUGAGGCACGAAAGCGUGGGUAUCGAACAGGAUUAGAUACCCUGGUAAGA
rnacentral:rRNA from 1 species